rnacentral:ncRNA from 1 species
UAACAAGAUCGGCAGACGAACCCUAGGUACGGCCGGUGCGGCCCCGUGGCGGUCAUGAAGGCCAACCGCCUAGGGGGCGGCGCGCGGGGCGGAAGCGGUGGGCGGCGGCUAGGUCUAGGAACUUGCUACGAAUACCAUGUUAGAAGGAAGAGAAGGAUUGAUAAAAUAGUUAUUAUAUUGUUUGAACCUCGUGGCCAUAUGUAAAAAUACAUGAUCAUCCAGUAGCUGGUCCGAGAGGAUGAUCAGCCACACUGGGACUGAGACACGGCCCAGACUCCUACGGGAGGCAGCAGUGGGGAAUUUUCCGCAAUGGGCGAAAGCCUGACGGAGCAAUGCCGCGUGGAGGUGGAAGGCCUACGGGUCGUCAACUUCU